ensembl:rRNA 5S_rRNA 5S ribosomal RNA
UAUUCUGUCCAUACCACCCUGAAGGCGCCUGAUCUCAUCUUGUCUCAGAAGCUAAGCAGGGUUGGGCCUGGUAGGACUUGGACGUGAGACAGCCUGGGAAUACCGGGUACAAAAAUAG